AUUGAACGCUGGCGGCAGGCCUAACACAUGCAAGUCGAGCGGAUGAGUGGAGGUUGCUCCAUGAUUCAGCGGCGGACGGGUGAGUAAUGCCUAGGAAUCUGCCUGGUAGUGGGGGACAACGUUUCGAAAGGAACGCUAAUACCGCAUACGUCCUACGGGAGAAAGUGGGGGAUCUUCGGACCUCACGCUAUCAGAUGAGCCUAGGUCAGAUUAGCUAGUUGGUGAGGUAAAGGCUCACCAAGGCGACGAUCCGUAACUGGUCUGAGAGGAUGAUCAGUCUCACUGACACUGAGACACGGUCCAGACUCCUACGGGGUGCAGCAGUGGGGAAUAUUGGACAAUGGAGGAAAGCCUGAGCCAGCCAUGCCGCGUGUGUUAAGAAGGUCUUCGGAUUGUAAAGCACUUUAAGUUGUGAGGAAGGGCAGUAAGUUAAUACCUUGCUGUUUUGACGUUACCAACAGAAUAAGCACCGGCUAACUUCGUGCCAGCCGCCGCAGUAACAC
rnacentral:rRNA from 1 species